UACGAGGGGGGCAAGCGUUGUUCGGAAUUAUUGGGCGUAAAGGGCGCGUAGGCGGUGCGGUAAGUCACCUGUGAAAUCUCCGGGCUCAACUGGGAGCUUGCAGGCGAAACUGCCGUGCUGGAGUGUGGGAGAGGUGCGUGGAAUUCCUGGUGUAGCGGUGAAAUGCGUAGAUAUCGGGAGGAACACCUGUGGCGAAAGCGGCGCACUGGACCACAACUGACGCUGAGGCGCGAAAGCUAGGGGAGCAAACAGG
rnacentral:rRNA from 1 species